AGUGCUAUCCGUGGGAGGCCCGACCAAGCACUUCACGCGUGCAAUUCGUGUGACACCCGAUCAAGGAAUGCACUCUAGUGAUCAAGCAAUGCACUCUAGUGCUAUGGAAUGCACUCUGGUGCUAUGGAAUGCACUCUAGUGCUAUCCGUGGGAGGCCCGACCAAGCACAUCACGCGUGCAAUUCGUGUGAUACCGAUCAAGGAAUGCACUCUAGUGCUAUGGAAUGCACUCUAGUGCUAUGGAAUGCACUCUAGUGCUAUCCGUGGGAGGCCCGACCAAGCACUUCACGCGAGCAAUUCGUGUGAGACCCGAUCAAGGAAUGCACUCUAGUGCUAUCCGUGGGAGGCCCGACCAAGCACUUCACGCUUGCAAUUCGUGUGAGACCGACCAAGGAAUGCACUCUAGAGCGAUCCGUUUGUGCAAUACGUGUGAGUCCCGACCAAGGAAUGCACUCUUGUGCGGUUUGUGGGAGGCCCGACCAAGCAUUUCACGCGUGCAGUUCGUGUACCGACCAAAGAAUUGCAAUGAGAUGGGUUUUUUUCGGAUUUUGGCCUAUUUUAUGGAUGGGAAAUAAACGGUUUCUCUAUUUUAUGCGAACAUCCAAGAAAAGUUGUGCAGAGUAUUAGGGGGUAGUGAGUAUUCGAGAAAAAUGAAUUUUCGUUUUUUCAUCCCUAACCAAGGAAUGCACUCUAGUGCAAUCGAAGUGUGCCCUAACUAAGCAUUUCAUGCGUGCAAUUCGUGUGAGACCGACAGUGGAUUGCACUCUAGUGCUAUCCGUGGGAGGCCCGACCAAGAAUUUCAUACGUUCAAAUCUCGAAAUGCUUCAUUUCACCCUGACCCAAGAAAUGUCCCGUGGAAAUCUCGAAAUGCCUCUUGUCGCAACGACCAAUGAUAUGUUCCGUUCAUCAAAAAAAACUCGGAUAGGUCCAUCCUAUGAUUAUGCCUUGGUAACUAAAAAUCGGAAUCGGUGAAUCUUGUAUAUAAUAUAAUAUAUUAUAUUAUAUAUUAC
rnacentral:lncRNA from 1 species